AAGAUUUUAAGUUUAAUUAUAAACAAAAGCCUUUCAAAGCUUUAAAUAAAAUAUCUUAAAUUUUAAAUCUUA
rnacentral:tRNA from 1 species